CUGCCUUUGUUCCACUUGUGUCUGAACGUUGGAGGAGAAACAGCAGGCUCCAGUUUUUAUUAACCUCUUAUUUUCAUAAACAGAAAACUCAUGUGCACUGAACUUUUUCCUCACUUGAGGUCUUUCAACUGACUUUCAGAAAAUGCUCUCAUGGCAUGCCUGGUGGACCUGGGACUUGCUGCUACUGCUCUUUGGCUUGUCAAUCCAUGCUGGUUCAGCAGCUCAGAUCAUAGAAGGGAAGCUGCUGCAAGUCAAGGGCUUAAAUUGCCAUUCAUUCUGGAAAAGGAAAAAUAAAUACGUUGGUUCCCCAGCUGUAAGGGGAACGUUACAUGCCUGCUCUCUCAAUAUUUCUUCAG